UAUACAUGUUUAUGAUGCCUUAACAAGUUACUAAUGAUCAGGUGAUUAAGUAAGGAAGAAAGUUGAUAUGACGGGGGGUUUUUAUGACUAUCGAUGCUCAAAGUUGAAGUUUAUGGACAUGAGUAAUUACUUGUGUUAUUUUGUUCUAGAAGGUUAUUUCUCUACGUGUUUUGUUAAUUGAUUGCUGAUGUUUUCAUUAGCUUGGUGUGCAAAUUUGGGUUGAAAGUUUUUGGUGUGAGAAGCUCUGUAGUUAUUGCUUUUGGAAUCCAAGGAUGGAUAGUUCUGAGAAAAAGUUUUAAUUUGAUAAUUUUGGUUGAUUGGUACCAACAAUAAAUGUAAGCUAUAAAGUACCUGCAUGUACGCUUCUGGUGUCCACCCCAACCACAAUGCUACUAGGAAAUUUAUAUGAUUUGCGAAGUAAAACACUUUUUCUUUGAUAUGAUAUUUGUAUGUAACUUAAAUUAUUUGACCGACAUGUUCUUGAGGUAAGAACAUGUUUAUGAUGCCUUAUACAUGAUGAUCCUUCUACAUGUUUAUGAUGCCUUAACAAGUUACUAAUGAUCAGGUGAUUAAGUAAGGAAGAAAGUCGUUAUGACGGGGGGGCUUUUAUGAUUAUCGAUGCUCAAAGUUGAAGUUUAUGAACAUAAUUAUGUAGAACAAAUCACAUUGAGGUAAGAAAUCUCAUGAUUGUGCAGUUUCCAUCACAGACUAAAAUGAGAAAACAGAGAGCUAGAGACUAAUUUCACAACUAAUCUGAAAUAACAAAAACAAAAUUUGGAAGCCCUAAUAUCCUUUGCUAAAUCUGAGAUGUUACAUGGUUCUUAAUUGUAGGGGAAGGAACUAAAUGAUGUUAACUCAUUGGCUGAAGUCAUAACACUAACUCUAAAGUGUGCUUUGAGUUGUUUUUAGAAACUUGAUUUUAAUAUUUCACUAUAAAAAUAUUUUUUUGACUAGCUGUUCUUCCAGGUGUUUCUGACAGGAUGGAUAGACUCAAUGCUGAAGUCACAACACAACUCUGAACUGUGAAUAUGCUUUAUUGUUUCUUUAUGUGAUAAAUGACUAGUCUAAGCUUCAGUUUUUUGUUCUUGUCUUUUAAUGUAUUAUUAAACUAUUAUGGCUUGUAAUCAAUGUUUUAAAUUAAUUUAUCCUGUCUGAUUUUCCAGCCGUUAUCCUUGCUGAAAUCCUAGAAGAUGAUGUUUUGGUCUUCCCCCACAUGUACUCGAUACUUACUGAGAUAGGUCAUGUUUACAUGGUUCCACUUAAGCAUUCAUCUUUUCAAAAAUGACAUGCUCUGUUUUAUUGGAACUUAUAGGUAUAAGAGGAGUUUGAAAGAGUUGCAUAAAAUGCUUCAUUGGUGCAAUGAGCAUUUCAACAGUUCAGCCAUGUAAACAAGGAGGCACUAGAUCAACAUGUAAAUCUCACUAGGAAACAGGAGGAACUUCAGACACGGCAAGCUGAACUUGAGGCAAGUGACAAGGUACUACGGUACUGGAUUUUAAUGGUUAAAUGUCUUCUGUUGUACUUAUUGUUUUUAAUGUGAGAUUAUGAUUUAUGUAUCUUUACUUCAACGAUAAACAUAAGCCAUAAAAAAAUAGACUGAGCUUGAGCCUGAUGUGAAAGACGUGCUAGAGAGAAUUUCAGAACAUAUCCAAGCCAAGGUAUCAAACUGUAGCAAAGAGAAAAAUGCUAAUUAUUUUUUGGGGAUAAAAAAUGUUGAAUGCUUUUAUUUAACAUGUGCUUUGCUUUCAGGAUGAUGCUAUGCUAAAAUGUAAGGUAUCUCCUCAACUAAAAUUUUCUACAUAUUACUACCUAAGCUAUAAUUUCAGCUGAAAGGGCCUCACUUUAGGUUUUUGUCCUCUACUGUCAAUAAACUAAUUUAUACAGCUAACAUGGUCGGUAAUAAUAAAACACAGUCUAGUAGAUGGAGAAUUUGCAAAUAAGUAAUUAAAACAUCAUUAUUUAAGAAUUAUUUGUGUAUUUUGUUACUUAAAUUAAUAUGUUAGGGGAUUUUAUACCUUCUUUGAUUUGACCUAGUGGAGGAUUUGGGGGACCUGAAUGGACACACAUAGUCGAGUGAAAUUUGAUUUUUUGCAAUUUAUACAGGUUUCCUUACUCUUGUGGAUAUGAACUCUUCUACUUUCGUCGUAGAUUCAAGGAAGCUUCUGUGGAUUUCUAGGUUUUCUUUCCUUCACUUGUUGUUGGGUGAUUUUUCGUUUUAGUCCAAGGAACCGGAACCAUCUUGUUAUGAGAAAUAAUUGAUUUUUAUUUUCCACAUUAACUGGACACUUCGAUGAUAAGUUUUUUACCUUUUCCAGAUGUUGUACUAGCUACAAAUGUUCGGGAUUUAUUCAAGGUCUAUAGCAGUAACUAGUAGAUGCCCACCAUUAUACUAAAAACAAGACCCCUUUGAAAAUUUCUAGUUUUAUGAUGAGCUGUCUUCAAGGUUUAUGUGUAAAUGUAUGGAUUAAUUGAAAUUAGAUAAGUAUGUUUUGCUACUUGGUAUGAGUAUGCAAUUGAACUUCUUAACUCUAUUGUUGCAAGUCCUCGUGCCUCUCUUGCCAUUUCCUUUAUAUUCUGAUUUUUUGAUUUUAAAUAAGUCAUCUACUUCAGGAAGAAAAUUAUAGGCUGAAUGCAGACUUCAAAGAGCGAAAUGCCUACGUUGAGAGCUGCAGAGCUGAAAUCGUUAUUUUCUAGUCUCAUGAAGGAUUCAAUAGUCAUAAAGCAUAGAGAAACAAGCUACAAGAAGCAUGUAUCCUUUUCUCUUUCUAUUUUGGUCAGGCUUAUUGAAAGGGCAUAGUUUGACUAGACUUUUCUGCUUUUGUAGAUCAUGGUGAAAAAGAAAAGUGAACUUAUUGUUGAAUUUGAUAAGCUAAGACCACAAGUGUUCUUAUUCCUCUGUCGUUGGGUCCUAUUUAUAGGAAAAAUCUCUUGUAGAUGUCACUAAUCAAAUAGUGAGCUUAAAGCCACUGUGACCACGAAACAAGGUGAGGUGGGCACAGAGCUCAUUGAUCACUUAACACCACAGGAAAAACAUGAACUAUCCCAGCUGAACUAAGAAAUAAAAGAUCUUAAAGAGGAGCUUAUUAAAUUUAGAACAGAUCGCAUCGAGGUAAGAUAUCUCAACCUUGUGAGAAGCAACUGUACUUAUCCUUAACAGGUAUUUGUUCUGUUUCACAUGAAGCUUUUGUGGCCUUCCAAGCUACUUCCAUAUUUAUGAUCUGCUUUCUGAUAGGCCUCUUGCUUGCUGUCAUGCAUGCCUAUAUGCUAAUGGGUGUAUGGUAAUACAUUGCCCCAAAAGUUUCUGUAUAUUUGUUGCUAAUUGAGGUGGGUGACUUUUUGGAAGAAAAUAGUUUAUUAUCGUUUAUUAUUGCCACCUGUUGCACUAGAGGUGAUAGAUUGAUGUUGCACUGAUGUGUCUUGGCCUCAAACCCUAGAAAAAUAAUAUUACUUGUCACUGAAAAAUGAGUAAAUAAAAAGAAACGAAUUAUUCCUCAUGCUUUUACAAUGUCUAUCUGCUAUUUGUGAUUUAUUAAGAUACAUUUUGAGUAUUAACAUUAGUUUUUGUUACUAUGAAGGCAAAGGUGAUGGUACAAAUGCAGAAUCUGGAGCACAUGAAGAAGAUUUUCUCAUCCAGGAUGAGAUUUCUAAAUCUUGUCUAGUGAACGUGUAGCGUGUAAGUCAUUCUUUAUGGAGAUGCUGCAUUUUGCAAGUAUUGCAAAAGUUGCAAGUGCUCCAUUAUACAUGCAUCCCUUGUUAUUGAAUUGUUGAUUAUCUGUAGGAGGAAGAGACAAUUUUGCAUGAGAGAGACGGCUAUAAACUGGAAGAGGGACGUCUUAUACGUGAAUUGAAAAGGAUACGAGAUGAGGAUGAUUCAAGUUUUAAUAAUUUUCAGAUUUUAAAUCAUCAAUAUGCCCUUUUAAACCUUCUUGGGCAAGGAGGAUUUAGUGAGGUUUACAAGGUCCGAACUUCGGCAAGUAGUUUCAAUUGAUAAUAGAAAGUAGUUUCAUUUGAUAAUAGAAACACUAACCUUUGCUUGUUUGAUGAAAAUUCUUAUAUACCAUGACAAGAGUAUAGAUCAUUCUGUUGCCAAUAUUGACAAUUGUAAAAGCACAUCCUUUUGCAGUGAUUUGAAGUGAGAAAUUUCCGGCAGGCUUAUGAUUUGGUCGAGCAUAGGUAUGUUCCAUGAAGGUGCAGGGCAUCAUGUUUUAUCUGCUUUUGUUGAGAUUGUGUUGAUAAUUCCGACAAUCACAUCCCGGUAAUACUUCAUAACCUACUUCUUUUUCUUUUCUGAGGUAUGGAGUGUAAAUAAUGGUCCACAUCUUAUUAAGAAAGAAGAAGGAUCCUGAAUUUUAUAUUUGUUUUUUUCUUCUUCUAACAUAUAAGCUUAUCUUUAUCUUUACAAAGCUUCUCCCACAAUGCUCCAGAAUUUCUUUUGAAUUAGUUGUUCUAUCAUGAGGCAUAAUUUUAUUUUAGUUCAGAAAGUCAAACUUUGGCCACCA